CUCUCAGAAUCUCCGCCACAUACGCUCACAUUCGGCGGCGCCAGGGCGUCCCGCCUUCCUCUGCUUCAUUUAACAUAUCUCUUAAAAGAUGGUGACGGUGGAUUUUGAGGAGUGCCUUAAGGAUUCCCCUCGGUUCAGGGCCAGUAUAGAAGAGGUGGAGGGGGAUGUCUGUGAGCUGGAAUCUAAGCUGGACAAGCUAGUGAAGUUGUGCAUCGGAAUGAUCGACGCCGGUAAGGCCUACAAUACGGCAAACAGACAGUUUGUUAAUGGCGUCCGGGAGCUGGCCCAGCAGUCCUCCAAAGAUGUUGUCAUCGAGUCAAGUCUGAUCAAGUUUGCGGAAAGCCUGCAGGAGAUGACCAACUACUACACGAUUUUAUUCGACCAAGCCCAGAGGUCUGUGAAGUCCCAACUUCAGAUAUUUAUAAAAGAGGACCUCAGGAAGUUCAAGGAGUCGAAGAAGCAGUUUGACAAGGUGAGCGAGGAGAAGGAGGCAGCUCUGGCCAGGAACGCGCAGGCCGCACGCAACAAGCAGCAUGAGGUGGACGAGGCCACCAGCAUCCUGACUGCCACCCGCAAGUGCUUCCGCCACGUGGUCUUGGACUACGUCCUGCAGAUCAAUGUCCUGCAGUCUAAGAAGAGGUCUGAAAUCCUCAAAUCGAUGCUGUCCUUCAUGUAUGCCCACCUGACCUUCUUCCAUCAAGGCUACGACCUGUUCAGCGAGCUGCAGCCGCUUAUGAAGCAGCUGGGGGGGCAGCUGGACCAGCUGGUGAUCAGCAUAGCCAAGGAGAAGCUUGACAUGGAGCUGAAACAUUCCACCAUUCAGCAGAAGGCUGCUCUGCAGGACUUUUCGAAUGACGACACCAAACUGGAGUACAAUGUGGAUGCAGACAAUGGAAUUGCCAUGGAGGGCUACCUCUUCAAGAGGGCCAGCAACGCGUUCAAAACCUGGAACAGGCGCUGGUUCUCCAUUCAGAACAAUCAGCUAGUUUACCAGAAGAAAUACAAGGAUAACCCCACCGUGGUGGUAGAGGACCUGCGGCUAUGUACUGUUAAGUACUGUGAAGACGUUGAGAGACGCUUCUGUUUCGAGGUGGUGUCCCCGACCAAGAGCUGCAUGAUGCAGGCAGAUUCAGAGAAGCUUCGGCAGGCCUGGAUCAAAGCCGUGCAGAACAGCAUCGCCACAGCAUACCGGGAGAAGGGGGACGAUCUGGAUAAGCUGGACAGCAGGUCUUCAGCAUCAACGGGCAGCCUGGACUCAAGCGGCGAGCCCCGGGAAAGGAACCUGAAGGGGGAUGGCGCCCUGCAGAAGGUCCUCACCAUUGCCGGCAACAGCCAUUGCUGCGACUGUGGCACAGCUGAGCCGCGCUGGGCCAGCAUCAACCUGGGCAUCACACUGUGCAUACAGUGCUCCGGCAUCCACCGGAGCCUGGGUGUCCAUUUCUCCAAGGUGAGGUCCCUGACGCUGGACAUGUGGGAGCCCGAGCUGCUGAAGCUGAUGUGUGAGCUGGGGAAUGAUGUCAUCAAUAACAUAUACGAGGCCCGGCGGGAAGAGCUGGGGGCCCGCAAGCCCAAGAGCGGCGACUCCAGGCCAGAGAUCGAGGCCUACAUCCGAGCAAAGUACGUGGACAAGAGGUUUGUCCUGAAACCAUCGAUCGCAGAGCAGAGGUCCAAGAUCAUGGCUCUGAUCAGGCGGGACAAGAAUCUGGGCAGCAGCUUGGAGCACCUGCCCCCCCGGCCACCCCCUCCCACGCCAAUCCUGCGUCCGGCUUCCCACCUUUCAGCUGCAGCCAACAGUGAAGAACCCAGCAAAAAGGCUCUCUUCUGUCCUGAUGAGCUAGACUCUCUCUUCUCCUACUUUGACACAUCCUCCAAGCUGCGCAGUAUUAAGAGUGCAGACUGCGGCACCCAGCAGAGCAGGGAGAGGAACAGGGAGAUGUGGGCCUGCACUGCGUCCACCACAAGUCUGCCUGAUGCAGAGCCUGCAUGCCCAGUGCAGCCCGAGAGAGGGCCUGCCGUCCCCCAGGAACCCAAGGCAUGCUCCCCCGGCCUGCAGCUUUACUGGGCCGCCUACGCCUGCAGCCUGCCGGACAUGACUGAGGCUAUAGCUCAUGGCGCCGAGGUCAACUGGGUCAACGCAGAGGAGGACAGGAAGACGCCGUUAAUCAUGGCGGUGCAGGGGGGCUCCAUGGUCACCUGUGAGUUCCUGCUCCAGAACUCAGCCAAUGUGAACCAGCCGGACGCCUACAGCAGAGGGCCCCUGCACCACGCCACCAUUCUGGGCCACACCGGGCAGGUGUGCUUGUUCCUGAAAAGGGGAGCCAGUCAGAACGCGCUGGAUGUUGAUAACAGGAGUCCCCUAUCCAUCGCCGUGGACACAGCCAAUGCCGACAUAGUGACACUGCUCCGUCUGGCCAAGAUGAAUGAGGAGAUGCGGGAGGCAGAGGGUCCCUAUGGACAGUCAGGUCAAUAUAACAGUAACAGCCCCACGGAAGUGCAGUACAGGAAGUGCAUGCAGGAGUUCAUUAGCCUGCAGCUGGAGGACUCCUAGACCAGACAGGGAUGUGGCAGCUGGCCGGCAGCCUUCGCUCCGGCCCGAAGGCCACAUGCCGGCUCUCAGUCUGUGUGUGCAGUAGCUGCACUGUCAACAAGUCGAGCAGGAACGUGUCCCUCAUCCACACCUCAUACUAAUGGGUCAGGUCUCUCAGGUUAGCUGGCCACAGCCAGUAAGAAUCACCAGACACAAGAACAAAUGAUUAUUCCCUCCUUCAUGUUUCUGGGCAUGAAAAUGCAGUUGCAUUGCAUUGUGGGAAUGAACAGUAAUCCAGAUCUCAGACACAUUUCUUCUGUGGUUCUUGUAUGCAACAUUGUAAUAUCACUAGUCUACUGUAAGUUAUUUUGACUCGUCUUAACUUUUUAAAUAAUUAUAGUUUUACUGUUUAAAUUCUGUUCCUUUUAAAUACAAAUAUCACAUUUUUGAAGAAGGCCUUAAAAGCUAAUUUACUUUUUUAUAAUAUUGCAAACAUCAGUCAUACAUUCAUUCUUUCUGAAGAAAUAUAUGCCAUAUAUAUAUGAGUCUGAAUCUUGUCAUUCAGAGUAAAUGAUUAGUAAUUUAUAUAGUUUAUGAAGAUUAGUAUUGUAUACUGGUUUAUUAAUGGUUAUUCCUUUAAUUCCUGUCCUUUAUUUUUGAUAUGAAGUAUAUUAUAACUUUUUGUUUCAAAAUGCAAAGAUAUACAAAUUGUGACAUCAGACAUUGUCAUCACUGAAGGGGGAUGUGUGUGUUUGAAUGUUUGUAUGCGUGCAUAUGUGCAUGUGCUGAGCAGCAUCCCAUCCAGCGAGCACCCCUACCUUACACCCUAUGACUCCUGGGAUAGGCUCGAGACCCUCACUAGUAUACAUGGCUAGUGAUGGAUGACAUUGACACGUUACAUUAUAUCUCUACUGGCCAGUCCAGAUUGCUUGUAUUAUUGAUUAUAUCUGCUAGUGUGAGUACUGCCACUUCAAAUACAGAACAGUGGGAGAACAGAACAAUAGCAUGUAAUACUAACAAUAACCACAAGGUGGCAGGUAUGCGAUUUGAAUGAAGGUACACAGCAAGCGCAAAGGUACCGGUGAAAUAGACCAGUGCAGCAGGACAGAUCCCAAGUCCGGGCUUCUUAUUGAUGUACCAAUGGUGUACAAUAUAGCAGCCUUUUCUUUGACUUUUAUCACAGUGUUCAUUGUUUGGAGCUGUUUAAGUGUACGGCUUUUCUGAAUGGUUACUUUUUAUUCUGUCAUUAAUGAAUGGAUAUGUAUAGAGAGAGAUGCUUAUGUCAUAUGUGUAUAUAGCAUACAUAGCAUAAAUAUGCAGUGUUAUAAAGAAAAAUGGUGAGAUUCUUAUUUUAGGUAUGUAAUAUGUUGCACUUCGCUGAGCCAUAGAAAAAAAGAGGUGUUACACUUCUGCCAUGUUUAGAACUCUUGAAUGUUGUUCUGAAUUACCAAAAUGCAAAUACAUAGAGGCAAAUAAAUAUAUUUUAAAUAGAUAUUGACAAAUGAAUGCUUUGAGGAUGUCAGGUGACGAGUAGGAGUUCCUUAGGAGACGAGGCCGCUCCUGAAGUUAAGCAGGCAGUGUUAGUAGCGGUGCGUACAUGUCGUUCUGUAGUGACAUAAAGUGACUGGCACCAACACAGUCUGGCUCGUACUUAGCAAGUGCAGGCAGUACCGUGUAGCCGAACCAUUAUUGAUAGCUUGGUAGCAGUCAGGGCUAAGCAGUUAAUGUUCUUUAGAAAGAGUAGCAGUACAUAGACAUUAUAUACUCAUCUGGUCUCUGUGUGUGUAUCUAAUUCAUGUUAAAAUAGCAGCCUUUAACAGAAGUGUGAACAUGUAUGACAUCCAUAUACAGCAACAUGUUUGUUACACCUCUCAUUCUACACCUCUCGAGCGCCGUACCUUGUUUACGGUUGACUUAUUGAUUCCACUUUCUGUUGCUAAACACCCAUCUCCAUUUCAACUCUGUUUUUCGAUCUGUUAUUUGGGAUUUUGUGCCUUUUCUGUCCUGUGGUUCUUCUGAAUGCUUAGGCCACUGCACCUGUAUUUUUGUACGUCGAACAUGCACUUUAAAUACAACUUGAUUGAUAACAGAAGUGACCUUUUUGUGAGUCGUUCUUUCCCUCUUCUCUCUCUUACUGUGUACUAAGCCAUGCCACUGAUUAAACUCGUACAGAUACCGUCAUGUUCUCACAGCACUCUUUUUUUGAAUAACGGGGGUCUCUCUCAGUUGUCCUGCAUCUUCCUCAGCAUUUGGUGCAUGAACACCGCUGCACUCUUUUGCUCAGGCUUCACACUGGCUGCCAGGUUUAUCUUUUGCACAGUUUAACUCUGCUUUUCUUUCCUGAGCUGCUUUCACCUGCUCAAAGGGGAUGAAACCUAUCAGGAUAUCUUCCGAGACUUUUCACACAUAGCGUCCAAUGAUCCUGGCCGACUGAACCGCUUCCAGUCACAUGAUUCCUAGAGGCUCUG